GAUUUCUUCGGAACCAGUGACUUAGUGGCGGACGGGUGAGUAACACGUGAGCACCUGCCUUUCAGAGGGGGAUAACGGCUGGAAACGGUCGCUAAUACCGCAUGAUAUGGCAUCAUCAAAGAUUUAUCGCUGAAAGAUGGGCUCGCGUCUGAUUAGAUAGUUGGUGGGGUAACGGCCUACCAAGUCUGCGAUCAGUAGCCGGACUGAGAGGUUGAACGGCCACAUUGGGACUGAGAUACGGCCCAGACUCCUACGGGAGGCAGCAGUGGGGAAUAUUGCACAAUGGGGGAAACCCUGAUGCAGCAACGCCGCGGAAGGAUGAGGUUUUCGGAUUGUAAACUUCUUUUCUUAGUGACGAAACGUGACGGUAGCUAAGGAAUAAGCAUCGGCUAACUACGUGCCAGCAGCCGCGGUAAUACGUAGGAUGCAAGCGUUAUCCGGAUUUACUGGGUGUAAAGGGAGCGCAGGCGGGACUGCAAGUUGGAUGUGAAAUACCGUGGCUUAACCAGGAACUGCAUCCAAAACUGUAGUUCUUGAGUGAAGUAGAGGCAAGCGGAAUUCCGAGUGUAGCGGUGAAAUGCGUAGAUAUUCGGAGGAACACCAGUGGCGAAGGCGGCUUGCUGGGCUUUAACUGACGCUG
rnacentral:rRNA from 1 species